AGUUCCCACUGAAACUGAUUGACAAAAAGGGCCUGGCACCUCUCUCUUCUCUCUCUUUCUCUCUCUCACCAUGUGAUCUAUGCAUGCCUGUUCCCGUCUGCUUGCACUAAGAAUGGAAACAGCCUAAGUUCCUCACCAGAAGCAGAGGCUGGCACCAUGUUUGUUAUGCAGCCUGCAGAACCAGAAAUCAUGGGAAAAACUGCCCAUUUCUGUUUUGUCCACUUUGCUUUGGGAAGUGAGAGCUAUAGUCAUUAUCACCACAUCCCCUGGCAUCCAAUUCCACAUUCUACCUCAGAAGUUAUUUGGAGGAAUCCAAGGACUUAGAUAUUUUACCAAUGUCUCUGGUGAUUUUUAUAUCGGUGGCCCAUGGGUGUUGACCUAUGAAACUGCUCUGCAGCAGAUAUUGAGAAAUAGGAGUUCAGACCAUCGAACUCCAAGUACUUCAGAUUUGGAACUCGGACUGCUUUCCUUGCUCCUCAGCCUGCAGAUGGCCUAUUGUGGGACCUUGUGAUUAUGUGA
rnacentral:lncRNA from 1 species